AUUGAACGCUGGCGGCAGGCCUAACACAUGCAAGUCGAGCGGAUGACGGGAGCUUGCUCCUUGAUUCAGCGGCGGACGGGUGAGUAAUGCCUAGGAAUCUGCCCGGUAGUGGGGGACAACGUUUCGAAAGGAACGCUAAUACCGCAUACGUCCUACGGGAGAAAGCAGGGGACCUUCGGGCCUUGCGCUAUCAGAUGAGCCUAGGUCGGAUUAGCUAGUUGGUGGGGUAAUGGCUCACCAAGGCGCCGAUCCGUAACUGGUCUGAGAGGAUGAUCAGUCACACUGGAACUGAGACACGGUCCAGACUCCUACGGGAGGCAGCAGUGGGGAAUAUUGGACAAUGGGCGAAAGCCUGACCCAGCCAUGCCGCGUGUGUGAAGAAGGUCUUCGGAUUGUAAAGCACUUUAAGUUGGGAGGAAGGGCAGUAAGCUAAUACCUUGCUGUUUUGACGUUACCGACAGAAUAAGCACCGGCUAACUCUGUGCCAGCCGCCGCAGUAA
rnacentral:rRNA from 1 species